UACGGGGGGGGCAAGCGUUGUUCGGAAUUACUGGGCGUAAAGGGUUCGUAGGUGGCCAACUCAGUCAGACGUGAAAUCCCUCAGCUCAACUGGGGAACUGCGUCUGAUACUAGAUGGCUCGAGUGCAGGAGAGGAACGCGGAAUUCCAGGUGUAGCGGUGAAAUGCGUAGAUAUCAGGAAGAACACCCGUGGCUAAGGCGGUUCUCUAGUACGGUACUGACGCUGAGACGCGAAAGCUAGGGGAGCAAACGGG
rnacentral:rRNA from 1 species